rnacentral:rRNA from 1 species
GGAUAUUGGACAAUGGAGGAAACUCUGAUCCAGCCAUGCCGCGUGAGUGAAGUAGGCCUUCGGGUUGUAAAGCUCUUUCAGUAGUGAAGAUGAUGACGGUAACUACAGAAGAAGCUCCGGCUAACUUCGUGCCAGCAGCCGCGGUAAUACGAAGGGGGCGAGCGUUGUUCGGAAUCACUGGGCUUAAAGCGUACGUAGGCGGAUUUGCAAGUCAGGAGUGAAAUCCCGGGGCUCAACCCCGGAACUGCUUUUGAAACUGCAAGUCUAGAGUCCCGGAGAGGUUGGCGGAAUUCCGAGUGUAGAGGUGAAAUUCGCAGAUAUUCGGAGGAACACCAGUGGCGUAGGCGGCCAACUGGACGGGAACUGACGCUGAGGUACGAAAGCGUGGGGAGCAAACAGG